GGUUAAGCGACUAAGCGUACACGGUGGAUGCCCUGGCAGUCAGAGGCGAUGAAGGACGUGCUAAUCUGCGAAAAGCGUCGGUAAGGUGAUAUGAACCGUUAUAACCGGCGAUGUCCGAAUGGGGAAACCCAGUGCAAUUCGUUGCACUAUCGUUAACUGAAUACAUAGGUUAACGAGGCGAACCGGGGGAACUGAAACAUCUAAGUACCCCGAGGAAAAGAAAUCAACCGAGAUUCCCCCAGUAGCGGCGAGCGAACGGGGAGCAGCCCAGAGUCUGAAUCAGCUUGUGUGUUAGUGGAACGGUCUGGAAAGUCCGACGGUACAGGGUGAUAGUCCCGUACACCAAAAUGCACAGGUUGUGAACUCGAAGAGUAGGGCGGGACACGUGGUAUCCUGUCUGAAUAUGGGGGGACCAUCCUCCAAGGCUAAAUACUCCUGACUGACCGAUAGUGAACCAGUACCGUGAGGGAAAGGCGAAAAGAACCCCGGCGAGGGGAGUGAAAAAGAACCUGAAACCGUGUACGUACAAGCAGUGGGAGCACCUUCGGGUGUGACUGCGUACCUUUUGUAUAAUGGGUCAGCGACUUAUAUUCUGUAGCAAGGUUAACCGUAUAGGGGAGCCGCAGGGAAACCGAGUCUUAACUGGGCGUUAAGUUGCAGGGUAUAGACCCGAAACCCGGUGAUCUAGCCAUGGGCAGGUUGAAGGUUGGGUAACACUAACUGGAGGACCGAACCGACUAAUGUUGAAAAAUUAGCGGAUGACUUGUGGCUGGGGGUGAAAGGCCAAUCAAACCGGGAGAUAGCUGGUUCUCCCCGAAAGCUAUUUAGGUAGCGCCUCGUGAAUUCAUCUUCGGGGGUAGAGCACUGUUUCGGCUAGGGGGUCAUCCCGACUUACCAACCCGAUGCAAACUACGAAUACCGAAGAAUGUUAUCACGGGAGACACACGGCGGGUGCUAACGUCCGUCGUGAAGAGGGAAACAACCCAGACCGCCAGCUAAGGUCCCAAAGUCAUGGUUAAGUGGGAAACGAUGUGGGAAGGCACAGACAGCCAGGAUGUUGGCUUAGAAGCAGCCAUCAUUUAAAGAAAGCGUAAUAGCUCACUGGUCGAGUCGGCCUGCGCGGAAGAUGUAACGGGGCUAAACCAUGCACCGAAGCUGCGGCAGCGACACUAUGUGUUGUUGGGUAGGGGAGCGUUCUGUAAGCCUGCGAAGGUGUGCUGUGAGGCAUGCUGGAGGUAUCAGAAGUGCGAAUGCUGACAUAAGUAACGAUAAAGCGGGUGAAAAGCCCGCUCGCCGGAAGACCAAGGGUUCCUGUCCAACGUUAAUCGGGGCAGGGUGAGUCGACCCCUAAGGCGAGGCCGAAAGGCGUAGUCGAUGGGAAACAGGUUAAUAUUCCUGUACUUGGUGUUACUGCGAAGGGGGGACGGAGAAGGCUAUGUUAGCCGGGCGACGGUUGUCCCGGUUUAAGCAUGUAGGCUGAUUAUCCAGGCAAAUCCGGAUAAUCAAGGCUGAGGUGUGAUGACGAGGCACUACGGUGCUGAAGUAACAAAUGCCCUGCUUCCAGGAAAAGCCUCUAAGCAUCAGGUAACAUCAAAUCGUACCCCAAACCGACACAGGUGGUCAGGUAGAGAAUACCAAGGCGCUUGAGAGAACUCGGGUGAAGGAACUAGGCAAAAUGGUGCCGUAACUUCGGGAGAAGGCACGCUGGUGUGUAGGUGAAGCCCCUGCGGGUGGAGCUGAGACCAGUCGAAGAUACCAGCUGGCUGCAACUGUUUAUUAAAAACACAGCACUGUGCAAACACGAAAGUGGACGUAUACGGUGUGACGCCUGCCCGGUGCCGGAAGGUUAAUUGAUGGGGUUAUCCGUAAGGAGAAGCUCUUGAUCGAAGCCCCGGUAAACGGCGGCCGUAACUAUAACGGUCCUAAGGUAGCGAAAUUCCUUGUCGGGUAAGUUCCGACCUGCACGAAUGGCGUAAUGAUGGCCAGGCUGUCUCCACCCGAGACUCAGUGAAAUUGAACUCGCUGUGAAGAUGCAGUGUACCCGCGGCAAGACGGAAAGACCCCGUGAACCUUUACUAUAGCUUGACACUGAACAUUGAGCCUUGAUGUGUAGGAUAGGUGGGAGGCUUUGAAGCGUGGACGCCAGUCUGCGUGGAGCCAACCUUGAAAUACCACCCUUUAAUGUUUGAUGUUCUAACGUUGGCCCCUUACCGGGGUUGCGGACAGUGUCUGGUGGGUAGUUUGACUGGGGCGGUCUCCUCCCAAAGCGUAACGGAGGAGCACGAAGGUUAGCUAAUCCUGGUCGGACAUCAGGAGGUUAGUGCAAUGGCAUAAGCUAGCUUGACUGCGAGCGUGACGGCGCGAGCAGGUGCGAAAGCAGGUCAUAGUGAUCCGGUGGUUCUGAAUGGAAGGGCCAUCGCUCAACGGAUAAAAGGUACUCCGGGGAUAACAGGCUGAUACCGCCCAAGAGUUCAUAUCGACGGCGGUGUUUGGCACCUCGAUGUCGGCUCAUCACAUCCUGGGGCUGAAGUAGGUCCCAAGGGUAUGGCUGUUCGCCAUUUAAAGUGGUACGCGAGCUGGGUUUAGAACGUCGUGAGACAGUUCGGUCCCUAUCUGCCGUGGGCGCUGGAGAAUUGAGGGGGGCUGCUCCUAGUACGAGAGGACCGGAGUGGACGCAUCACUGGUGUUCGGGUUGUCAUGCCAAUGGCACUGCCCGGUAGCUAAAUGCGGAAGAGAUAAGUGCUGAAAGCAUCUAAGCACGAAACUUGCCCCGAGAUGAGUUCUCCCUGAGACUUUAAGUCUCCUGAAGGAACGUUGAAGACGACGACGUUGAUAGGCCGGGUGUGUAAGCGCAGCGAUGCGUUGAGCUAACCGGUACUAAUGAACCGUGAGGCUUAACCUU
rnacentral:rRNA from 2 species